AACGAACGCUGGCGGCAUGCCUAACACAUGCAAGUCGAACGAGACCUUCGGGUCUAGUGGCGCACGGGUGCGUAACGCGUGGGAACCUGCCCUUAGGUUCGGAAUAACUCCCCGAAAGGGGUGCUAAUACCGGAUAAUGUCUUCGGACCAAAGAUUUAUCGCCUUUGGAUGGGCCCGCGUUGGAUUAGCUAGUUGGUAGGGUAAAAGCCUACCAAGGCGACGAUCCAUAGCUGGUCUGAGAGGAUGAUUAGCCACACUGGGACUGAGACACGGCCCAGACUCCUACGGGAGGCAGCAGUGGGGAAUAUUGGACAAUGGGCGAAAGCCUGAUCCAGAAAUGCCGCGUGAGUGAUGAAGGCCUUAGGGUUGUAAAGCUCUUUUACCCGGGAUGAUAAUGACAGUACCGGGAGAAUAAGCUCCGGCUAACUCCGUG
rnacentral:rRNA from 1 species